ensembl:lncRNA
UUUUACCAUUCUCUUAUUUAUUUAUUUAUUUAUGUUUUAAAGAUUUCAUUUUUUCCUUCUUCUCCCCAAAGUCCCCCGGUACAUAGUUGUAUGUUCUUCGUUGUGGGUCCUUCAUAGUUGUGGCAUGUGGGACACUGCCUCAGCGUGGUUCGAUGAGUCAUGCCAUGUCGGCACCCAGGAUUCGAACCAACGAAACACUGGGCCACAUGCAGCGGAGCGCGUGACCUUAACCACUCGCCCACGGGGCCAGCCCCUACCAUUCUCUUUCUACGAUUUCUUUUUACUUUUUGACAUCUGUUUCUACACUACUUCUGGACUGAGACAAAACAGUCACCUCAAACUCAUGAUGACUCAAUUUUUUUUCCCUUGAAAAAUCUCAAGUAACAUUUAGAAGUUAGUGAUUAUUCUUUACAGACACGUUUGUGUCUUCAAAGAGCACCACUGAAGGCACAAACCAAGUUUUCUUUCAACCAAUAAGUAAUUUUUAUUUCAAGGGUUCGAUGUCCACAUCAAAUAAUCAUCUAUUGAUGUGGAUGUGUGUGUGUAAUAGUUAAGAAUGUGACCUAAAUUACCUUCGUCAAGUCUGGCUCAAAACUGGUGUGACUUUGGGCAAAUUACCUAACCUUUCUUUGUCUUCUUCUUCUCAUCUUUAAAAUGGCAAAAAACAAUAGUACCUAUCUCAGAGGGUUCCUGGGAAGAUGAAUCAAGUCAAUACCCGGAAAGUACAUGGAAUGGUGCCUGGUUCAGAGAUUCUCUUGGUAAACAUGUGGCAAACGUCCAAUGACUCUAACUUUCUAAAUUUGAGAAAUGAUUUUUCAAAGAGCAUUUCUAGCACCCGAGUAAGCAGACUCCUGAAUCCAGGGCUUCUUGGAGAAAUGGCUGAUUCCAGGUUUUGGGGCAGGAUAUGCACAAAAUCAGUCAACUUGUUUUGUCCAAUUCAAGGAAGUCAUCAGGGACCACCAGGGCCAGAGACUACCAGGAACCAACCUGGAAAGACCAACUCACUGGCCAAAGAUUGGAAAAUUGGAGGUUUAGUAAUGAUUUUAAUUGCCACGAGGCAAGCCCCAUCAAAUAUAUUUAAAUUGCUAAAUUCAUAAUUAAAAAAAUAAUUGGUCAUUUUUGGAAGAUGAUAGAGAAUCAAUUCAUUGUCUUGAAAACUGGCUUUUAAAAAAAGGGAAGAACCAAGCGUUUAUUCUGUCUUUCUCAUAUGAACUGUCCUACUGGGUAACAAAUAGUAGUUGAGAAGCAUGUCUUCAUAAAGAGUAUUCCAAUAAAGAAAUAAAAAGAACUGACAUAAUUAUAAUAUCACCAUUUUGCAAUACACGUGGAAUAUAGAUCUAGGCAUUGAGCUGCUGUCACAAGAGAGAAAACCAGACUCGAUGUGCUUCCUGAUGAAAGAAUACACCACCACCUGUGGUCUCGCCAAAGGGGUCAAAUCUGAGACUGAUCACGGCCCUGGAUCCAGCUGCCAAUUUGCAGGAAGAGUGGGCAGAGAGCUUGGUGAUCUGCACCGUGAAUAUGCAAUCGACAAUAUCCAGACUGGGGGAAGCUCUACAGGCUAAAUAAAUAGCCUGUGUUCUUCCACAGAUACACUGAAAAGAAGAAGGGAAUGGAAAGGGACACUGGAGGUUGAAAAUGACUUAACAGGUGUUGAAUUUUUUUAAAAAUUGGGUAAGACUGAAGUACAGACAAUGUCUGGGCUUGUGUUGGUGAUAACACUAUAAAAUGCAAUGAAGCAAUUACUGUAAAGGCAAGAGAGUGGUUUCUUUGUGAGGAGAGGGGUGGCUGUGUUUGGGAUGGGCCACAUGGAGGGGUUUCUGGGUGACCGGCAAAGCUAUAUUUCUUGACUCAGGUAAGGGUUUCAAGGGCAUCGUAUUAGUUUCCUAUUGUUUCUGUAAGAAAUUACCAAAGAAUUAAUGGCUUAAAACACCAAAAUUUAUUACCUGACAGUUCUGUAGGUCAGAAGUCCAGGUGAGCUUGCCUGGAUUUUCUGCUGUGGGUCUCACAAGGCGGAAAUCAAGUUCUUGGGCAGCUGGGCUCUGAUCUGGAGGCUUUAUGCUCAUUCAGGCGGUUGGCUGAAUUCAGUUCCUUGUGGCUGCAGGGCUGAGGAUCCUGUUCCUUGCUGGCUGUCAGCCAGGAGCCUCUCUCAGCUUCUUAAGACUACCCACAUUCCUUUUACAUUGUCCGCUCCGUCUUCAACGGCAGCAGGCAGCAGUGGGUUGAGUCCUUUCUGUGCUUUGAAUCUCUCUGAUUUCUCCUUCUGCUGCAACUCUUUUGCUUUCCUCUUCUGUUUCUAAGGGCUUAUGUGAUUACAUUGGUCCCACCUUGAUAAUCCAGGAUAAGUUCCCUAUUUUAAGGUCAGCUGAUGAGUAAACUUAAUUCCGUCUCAAAGUCCCUUCACAGCAACGCCUAGACUGGUGUUUGACUGAAUAACUAGGCGACCAGAAUCCUGGGAGGACAUCUUUAGAAUUCUCCCGACCACAGGUGUUUUUACCUUACACAUUUGUUUCCUAUUGUUUUAUAUAUUUGUAUUUUAUUUUACAAAUAUAAAAGCUAAAAAAUCAUUGAGACAUGCAAACAGGUGCCUUCUUGUGAUAUUUGAAAGACAUUUAUCAAAGAUGCUUACCUUUUUUUAGGGAAAAAAAAAACCCAAACAAAAAAUGAUUUCUUUCCUUAGCUGAAAUAAUUUGUACUUUCACCUUGUCUGAGGAUCGUAAAAAUUGUAGGUAUAAAAAAAGUAAAUUUCUGGAAUUUGCUGCUUUUAUUACUGUAAGUAACUCUAGAACAUUUGCAAUAAAAGGUUAUGUUUUAAUAAAAUUCACAAAUCGUAUGGAGUUAUUUGGCAUGGUUGUAAAGGUACACACUUUAUAGUAGGUUCCAGAUUCGUGGGAUAUGCCUGCAUGAAUCCAUUUUGGCAAUAGCUUUUAUAAGAGUUGAUACUUCUUUGUUUUUUCUGUCAUUUCAUAGCUAUUUUGGGGGAUAGCUGUCAUUGCAUUUUUGCUAACUUAAUUGAUAGUAUACCAAAAUUGAUCUACACCAUGGGCGGGCAAACUUUUCCUGUAAAAAAGCCACACAGUAAAUAUUUUCAGUUUUGUAGGCCAUAUCGUCUCUGUUGCAGACAUUCAAAUCUCAUUGUAGCCCAAAAGAACACAGAGAACACAUAAAUUAAUAGGCAUGGCUGGAUCUGGCCCAUGAACCAUGGUUUGUAG